rnacentral:rRNA from 1 species
AACGAACGCUGGCGGCAUGCCUAACACAUGCAAGUCGAACGAGACCUUCGGGUCUAGUGGCGCACGGGUGCGUAACGCGUAGGAACCUGCCCUUAGGUUCGGAAUAACUCCCCGAAAGGGGUGCUAAUACCGGAUAAUGUCUUCGGACCAAAGAUUUAUCGCCUUUGGAUGGGCCCGCGUUGGAUUAGCUAGUUGGUAGGGUAAAAGCCUACCAAGGCGACGAUCCAUAGCUGGUCUGAGAGGAUGAUCAGCCACACUGGGACUGAGACACGGCCCAGCCUCCGACGGGAGGCAGCAGUGGGGAAUAUUGGACAAGGGGCGAAAGCCUGAUCCAGCAAUGCCGGGGGAGUGAGGAAGGCCUUAGGGUUGUAAAGCUCUUUUACCCGGGAUGAUAAUGACAGUACCGGGAGAAUAAGCUCCGGCUAACUCCGUG